rnacentral:tRNA from 1 species
CAGGGAGACAAACAACGAUUUUGAUGCCUGAGUAUUUUUAUUCUUAGGCCGAAAUCCUGUCACCUUAGGUCGAUCGGUACCUCAGCAUUGAGAGCAAAGAUCAAUGAGAGAUCAUUGUGAGAUUGCAGGAGAUGUUCAGUUCCUAAACUUUGUCUAGGUCACACCCCACAAGGGUUGAGUCUCCUGGGCCAUUAGCUCAGGUGGUUAGAGCGCACCCCUGAUAAGGGUGAGGUCCCUGGUUCAAGUCCAGGAUGGCCCAUUCGGUGUUGGGGGUUUAGCUCAGUUGGUAGAGCGCCUGCUUUGCAAGCAGGAUGUCAGGAGUUCGAGUCUCCUAACCUCCACUGACCGAACUCAAUCUCCUUCUUCCAGAAUUGGGAGAUGAACUCGAGUGUUAUGGAGUGUGAUUUUAGAUGUGUCCGCUGGAUGUGAACCCAGCUUCCUGUCAUUCCAAGUUUUGGCUUUUUAGCUUUGAAUUUGGUUGAUAAGAUGCUGGGCUCAGAUCAGAUAAUCAAGCAAUUGAUGAUUUGAUUUGAAGUUCUAGCAGAACCUUGACAACUGCAUAGGUAAGUCUGGAAAAAACAAAGCAUCUCAUGGAUGCAUUGUUUUGAGUUCAACCUCUCGAAAGGGAGAUUGAAUCCAGAGCAAUGAAAAUUCUUUUGAGCAAGAGCCGAGACUCUUGAACGUUCUUUGAUUCGUGUCGAGCGAAUCAGAGUUUGAUUUUUGUUUUUUAGUUGAGUGAAAGCUGAUUAAAAAAACAUAAGAUCUGCUUCACGGCGGUAGCGGUUUAGAGUGAAUUG